GCCGGUUUAGCUUAGUGGUAGAGCGUUGCACUUGUACCGAUUUGUGGCAAUGCAAAGGUCGGUUGUUCAAUCCAGCCAACCGGCA